rnacentral:tRNA from 1 species
UGUAGCUCAGUUGGCAGAGUGCUUGCCUAGCAUGCUUGAGGCCCUGGGUUCACUUCCCAGCA